GACGAACGCUUGCGGCGUGCCUAAGAAAUGCAAGUCGAGCGAGGUUUAGGCUUCGGCCGACGACCUAGCGGCGAACGGUCGCGUAACACGUAAGCAACCUGCCCUAAAGUUGGGGAUAGCCCGCCGAAAGGCGGAUUAAUACCGAAUGUGGAUAUGUAUUCGCAUGUAUAUAUAUCUGAAGCAGCGAUGCGCUUUAGGAUGGGCUUGCGGCCUAUCAGUUAGUUGGUGUGGGUAACGGCCUACCAAGACGACGACGGGUAGCUGGUCUGAGAGGAUGGUCAGCCGGAUUGGGACUGAGACACGGCCCAGACUCCGUACGGGGGCAGCAAUUAGGAAUCUUGCGCAAUGGGCGAAAGCCUGACGCAGCGACGCCGCGUGACUGAUGAAGUCUUUCGAGAUGUAAAGGUCUUUUGGUUGGGGACGAAGGAAGUGACGGUACCGACGAAUAAGCCCCGCUAACUACGUG
rnacentral:rRNA from 1 species